rnacentral:rRNA from 1 species
AUUGAACGCUGGCGGCAUGCCUUACACAUGCAAGUCGAACGGCAGCACGGGGCAACCUGGUGGCGAGUGGCGAACGGGUGGGUAAUGCAUCGGAACGUACCUUUCAGUGGGGGAUAACGUAGCGAAAGUUACGCUAAUACCGCAUAUUCUGUGAGCAGGAAAGCAGGGGAUCGCAAGACCUUGCGCUGAUUGAGCGGCCGAUGUCAGAUUAGCUAGUUGGUGAGGUAAAGGCUCACCAAGGCGACGAUCUGUAGCGGGUCUGAGAGGAUGAUCCGCCACACUGGAACUGAGACACGGUCCAGACUCCUACGGGAGGCAGCGGUGGGGAAUUUUGGACAAUGGGGGCAACCCUGAUCCAGCCAUGCCGCGUGAGUGAAGAAGGCCUUCGGGUUGUAAAGCUCUUUCGGCCGGGAAGAAAUCGCACGGGCUAAUACCCUGUGUGGAUGACGGUACCGGAAUAAGAAGCAUCGGCUAACUACGUGCCAGCAGCCGCAGUAAGAC